rnacentral:misc_RNA from 1 species
UCAACUAGUCUUAUUAGUAACUAAUUAGGAAUGCUAAUCAAAUUCAAACUUCCUGAAUAAAAUAAAAUACUACUUCCUUGUUAAAUUUCCUAAAUAUUAGAAAUAUAAAAUUCCUAAUUUUAGAAUGAAAACUUAAAUCAAAAUAAUUCUUAAACCUAUUCUUCCUUGACUGCAUCAAUUAUGCAGUAACAAAGGCUUGAGCCUAUCAUUCAGUGAAUGCAGUUGAAGGAAGGGUUUCACAUAGCUACAUGGUAUCAGGUUCAUCUAUUAUUGUCACUCAUUUCACUAUAUGGACUGCUCAUCCUUAUGGUUCUAACUUAUUUGUGAAUCCCUUAUCUUUCCGAAAUUCAGUGAUGUAGAACCACAAAGAAAUACCAAAUUGAUGUAGAAUCACAAAAAAACACUCAAAGGGGAAAAUAAGUAAACUCUCAAAUUUGAUUAAUUCUCAAUUGUUUUGCAUAGCUAUUUAUGAUAUCUCAAAAUAAGAAAAUACUAAACAAACACUAAUUAACAAUACCAAGUCAACAUAAACUCCUACGUAAAUAAAAUGCUAGUACUACGUUACAUUUUCUAAAUUUCUCCCUAAAAUAUGUAGUCGUAAAAUAUCUAGUGGAAGGACAUACAUCAGUCAUUCAUCAUUCUGUGUGAAUGAUGUUCCAAAGAGAAACACUUGGCUAAUUUAAAUAGUAGAAGAACAUAUGACACAUACAAUGAAGCACAAUGGAUGAUGGUCAACCACAUGCUCCAGGGGUAGUUUUUAUUCCUGGGCCUACAUGAGCUUGAAAUCUGCUUUAGUAAACAGCGCACUCUUUUAAUUUGAUUUGAUUUUAUAUGUUCAACCUUGAAGGAUUGCAGAAAAAUUGAGAAUUAACGCCAAAUUGUCUCACUGUGGUUAAGCCUUUCAUGCUGUAAUAUAUAGGUAGAGUUCAUUGGUUUCCCUGGUAGAGGAUCUGGCACUUCCCAAAACACACCCAAGUGGCCUGGCAUCAUCUUGCUUGAUAAUUGUAAAAUGCAUGAUCACACUAUACGUUUUUCUGGUAUCACUAGAGAUUAUCAGCUGUCUCCACCUUCGAUUAGUGAAGAGGCUGAAAGCUUUCUCCUAAAUGCCAUAAACAUGAACUUCUUUGAGCGAUUGAACCUGGCAUGGAAGAUAAUAUUCCCAUCACCAGCACGAAGAAAGAGCUCAAAUGCAAGGAUUGCCAAACAACGGUUGAAGAUGAUUCUUUUCUCUGACAGAUGUGCAGUGAGUGAUGAAGCAAAACGGAAGAUUGUAAAAAACGUUGUGCAUGCUCUAUCAGAAUUUGUGGAGAUAGACUCACAGGAUAAAGUGCAGCUGAACGUCACUACCGAUUUUGAUCUUGGGACUGUAUAUUCUGUUACAGUGCCUGUACGACGGGUGAGGGCAGAAUAUCAGGAUGCAGAAAAAAUCGGAUCAAUAACAAACAUCGAGUACAAAGAUACUGGAGAAACUUCUGGUUCUGUAGACGUCCGAUUUGAUUUCUUCAUCCCUGAUGAAAGAACCCGGUGAUUUCUUAAAGCUUAAAAUAAAACAGUGUUGGCAAGUAUCCAAGACUUUGUCUUUCCAUGUUUGGAUCUUUUGCUAG